UCUUGUGAUGUUUCUCCCAAAUGCAAAGAGACAUCUUCAGGUUGUGCCGGCUCAUCUGGGAAAGUGAUAGGACCUGCAUGUCGCUCUAACAGUAAAUAGCAUCCUCCUGCCAAUGUCCUACACAGGUAUUCAUUUUAAAGGUUGAAUUCCUUUUCAUGAGGAGUAUACUGUCAACUCUGGAAGAGGAGUGAGAAGCAUGCAUACAGAAGCCACCAAACUGAAAAAAGAGACUCCUGGCCUUCCUGGCUUUCUUAUUUGCAGUUUUUCAAAUGUGCAAGAAUGUUAGAUGUCUGCUAUGUCAAGGUUAAUGUGGAUCCUAGGAAGCAGUUUCUUAUGACAUC